rnacentral:lncRNA from 1 species
UGUGUCAUAGUAUAGGUGUGAUGCUCAUGACAAUUUAUGCACUUAUGAAAGCAUGUUGUAAACACCUCAAGCAUUCACCCUUAAGGAUUUCAAAGAGGCUUAAGGACCAUCCACCUUUUGAACAAAGGCAGCUUAUCCUCGUUACAAGGUUAAGCUUUAAGCUCCUUGACAAUAAAAUUACUUCACCCAGUUUAAACAAAGAAGUAAGAAUGAAUAUUUGAGAAGUUAACCUAGGUAUGAAGCAGGGUUAAUGCAUGAACAUGCUUUCUCUUCCUUUUAUACAAGAUAUGCAAGGAAUGAAGGAAGAUUUAGGUACAUGUAUGAAUAAGAUUGAAUAGUUUUACCCUUUUGUACCUUUACAUAGUGAUGUUCACUUCAUUGUGCUUUGUCCUUAGUCUUAUUGAAUUCGCCGAAGACCUAUACUCAAGACAAUAUAUGAAAAUAU